rnacentral:rRNA from 1 species
GCCAGCAGCCAUAUCAUCCUGCAACUCACAACUGGGAACACACUGAAGCUCAGCAGGUGUGAGCCUGGUCAGUACCUGGAUAGGAGACUCCUGGGAAAUCUAAGGCUGCUGCUGAAA